CCUACGGGCGGCAGCAGUGAGGAAUAUUGGUCAAUGGCCGAGAGGCUGAACCAGCCAAGUCGCGUGAGGGAAGACGGCCCUACGGGUUGUAAACCUCUUUUGUCGGGGAGCAAAGAGAGUCACGUGUGACUCAUUGAGAGUACCCGAAGAAAAAGCAUCGGCUAACUCCGUGCCAGCAGCCGCGGUAAUACGUAGGUGGCAAGCGUUAUCCGGAUUUACUGGGUGUAAAGGGCGUGUAGGCGGGGAGGCAAGUCAGAUGUGAAAACCACGGGCUCAACCUGUGGCCUGCAUUUGAAACUGUUUUUCUUGAGUGCUGGAGAGGCAAUCGGAAUUCCGUGUGUAGCGGUGAAAUGCGUAGAUAUACGGAGGAACACCAGUGGCGAAGGCGGAUUGCUGGACAGUAACUGACGCUGAGGCGCGAAAGCGUGGGGAGCAAACAGGAUUAGAUACCCCGGUAGUC
rnacentral:rRNA from 1 species